rnacentral:lncRNA from 1 species
UUCACCUAGCCCAUGGCCAAGUCAGGGUCUCUGAAGAACCCCCACGAAAAGUGCCAACUGGAAGAGCCAACAUUUGGAUCUUACCAUUUGGAAGGCUUUCAAUAGUCAAGAGAGCAUCACAGCCAGCAUCUGCCUCCAUCUCUCAUCCCUCCACAGCUAUUAUAUUGGAAAAUCCAUCAGCAGUUAGGUCACAUAGGAGAGUGAUCAGCAUAUCUUGGGAGCACAGUAGACACAGGUUAAGGAGAUCCCCUGCCUGCAGUCUCCCAAUCAAAUCAUAGGAACACUGUGAGACUCUGGGGUGAGCUUGCAUUUGCAGACAGGAACUGAAGGGCUGGAGAGGUUACACUCACCCAGGUGCAGUUGCCCAGCAUGCGAAAGAGGAGACAUUCUAAACCCUGCACUUAAAAAAUCAAUCAAUAAAUAAAGUUA